AUCGCUUCUCGGCCUUUUGGCUAAGAUCAAGUGUAGUAUCUGUUCUUAUCAGUUUGACCCGGUGGUCAAGAUUACGCCGGUGUUGGACUGGUGGGGAUGGGUGCUGCAUGGAGGGGACAGGUGUACCAGGGAGUUCCGGGGCUGGUUCUGAGGAAUCAGAUCGAUGGCUCAUUUUGCACCUUUU